UUUUUAUUUUAUUCAUAAUAAAUUAUGUUCCAUAUAUAAAUAUUUGAUAUGAAAUUAAAGCCCUGUUUCCCCUGAACAAAAUGAUAUAUAAUAAGUGUGGGUGCAUUUAAUAUGAAAAAGGAGCAUUACAGGUGAAAAGACAUAUAGCGCAAAUUCCAGUGUUUGUUUUGAUCAGAACGUGCACUAUUGACUCCGUCCUGAAGGGGAUAAUGGAUCUGAUGUUUAC